rnacentral:rRNA from 1 species
UACGUAGGGUGCGAGCGUUGUCCGGAAUUACUGGGCGUAAAGCGCGUGUAGGCGGCCAAGCAAGUCGGAUGUGAAAGCCCUCGGCUCAACCUGGGGGCUGCAUUUGAUACGUUCGGACUAGAGUGGGGAAGAGGGUCGUGGAAUUCCCAGUGUAGAGGUGAAAUUCGUAGAUAUUGGGAAGAACACCGGUGGCGAAGGCGGCGACCUGGUCCUUGACUGACGCUGAGGCGCGAAAGCGUGGGGAGCAAACAGG